rnacentral:rRNA from 1 species
AUUGAACGCUGGCGGCAGGCCUAACACAUGCAAGUCGAACGGUAGCACAGAGAGCUUGCUCUCGGGUGACGAGUGGUGGACGGGUGAGUAAUGUCUGGGAAACUGCCCGAUGGAGGGGGAUAACUACUGGAAACGGUAGCUAAUACCGCAUAACGUCGCAAGACCAAAGUGGGGGACCUUCGGGCCUCACACCAUCGGAUGUGCCCAGAUGGGAGUAGCUAGUAGGUGGGGUAAUGGCUCACCUAGGCGACGAUCCCUAGCUGGUCUGAGAGGAUGACCAGCCACACUGGAACUGAGACACGGUCCAGACUCCGACGGGAGGCAGCAGUGGGGAAUAUUGCACAAUGGGCGCAAGCCUGAUGCAGCCAUGCCGCGUGUAUGAAGAAGGCCUUCGGGUUGUAAAGUACUUUCAGCGGGGAGGAAGGCGGUGAAGUUAAUAACUUCACCGAUUGACGUUACCCGCAGAAGAAGCACCGGCUAACUCCGUGCCAGCCGCCGCGGUAA